CGCGGAGCUUUUCAGAAAACACUCGCUCUCUCAAACACUGUACUAUCUCAAAUUCUCUCACGAACCUUUCACAAAACCCUCUCUCUCUCAACUCUCUCUCACAUCGAUGAAGCACAUCUCCCUCUCGCCAUCCACCGAACUUGCCGAGACCGCCAUCUCCGUCAUUCCGUUCAGGACACCGAGUUCACCGAGAUCGCCAUCUCCAUCGCGUCGUUCAGUCCACCGAGCUCACAUCGUUCAGUCCACCGAACUCGCCUCGUUAACCAAAAUUUAUUCUCUCCCUCUGAAAAUGAACCAAGCUCAAGCACUAAUUUGAAGGAAAAAACUACGAUGAGGGUUUUAAUGUCAGAUCUGGUUAUGAUUGUCUCGCGAACACUUUGCAAUGGGUAUGUUUUAUUAUGUUUCGUUUAUUAUCGAAGAAACUAUAUAUGUUUUAUUUUGUUUGAUUUAGGUUCUUCCGUUAAAGAUGCUGGUGAGUUGAUUUAGGAAUUAGGGCUUUGGGUAUAAAAGGCUGGUGUGAAAUUCACACCAUCGACUAUUUUAGCUUCAGCCCAGAGUGGACAUGCAACUGGCGAUGAUUGGCAAUAGGAGGUCUAUCAAAAAGACAAGGAGAAAAGGGAGAGGGUCCUCCUCCUUGUGUUGAUUCAGAGAUGAACUCAAGACCUCGUCUCAUUGCUCACUUUGUUCAGCCUUCUCUGCGUUGCUGCUACAAGGAAGCUUACUCAGUGGUCAAGAAGGGUAUUAGCAUACAACUUUCUUUGCCUUGCUCCACUUGAGUUGUCAGUCUGUCACAAAGCUUCAAGCAUCGCAUUUCAAGUUUUUUGACUUCUUAUUAUUAUCAAGCGUUUAAUAUUAGCAUUAUAAUCUUUUGGCAUGAUUCGUAAGAAGGGACCUGUGAAAUAUAUUUGGAUAAGGUUUGUGUUUGUGGAGUUUGAUGUUAAUUUUGCAAGUCUUGUAGAAGGGACCUAUUGUUGCUGAUAUUGCUACAGUGGAUGGGAAUACAAUAACUUGGAAAAUGUGCAAGGCGGAGCUAACUCAUACAUCCAAGAACAAAUUGAUGAAGUUCGUAUCUAAUCAGUAGAAUUUGUGAGCA